GGGUCAGUAGGUUGGUCGUGCCACCGGUACGUACUGGUCUCACUGAUUCCUCCUUCCUGAAGAACCGUAAUGCCAUUAAUUUGGUGUUGCGGGGAAACAGGACUGUUACUUUGAAAAAAUUAGAGUGUUUAAAGCAAGCUAACGCUUGAAUGCAUUAGCAUGGAAUAAUGAAAUAGGACGAUCGAUCCUAUUUUGUUGGUUACUAGGAUUGACGUA
rnacentral:rRNA from 1 species